rnacentral:lncRNA from 1 species
UGACCCCAGGUGUGCCAUCAGGAGAACUUCAACCCGGAGGGGAGAUCAGCUCUCCUGCGACCCAGUGUCCCUUCCCUGACAGCGCAACGGAACCUAACGGAUACAGGACGAUUCCAGGGACAGUGCGCUUCAGGACCACGAUUGGUCACAAGGUUGUUUCUGAAGCAAUCAUUGGCAAGAAAAAUCAUUGGCAAGGGAAAUUUGUAAACAAAAGUAAGAUGGACCAUCCUUGGAUCUGAAGGUGAGGUAAGCAGGUGGGGAUGAACAUCUGAAUACUGGGGCUCUGUUAGGAAGGAAGAAGGGGGAAUGGAUCCUCUGGAUGGGCAACCAACAAAGUCCCCCUAACAUUUCUGGAGUGUUUCCUGUGUACCACGCCCUGUGCCAAGUGUUUUACACUCUUAUCUGAUGUGAUCCUCACAAACAGCCUUCUGAAGUGUACUGUAUUAUCCUUGCUU